AACGCACAUUGCGCCCAUUGGUAUUCCUUUGGGCAUGUCUGUUUGAGCGUCAUUAGAAGAAGCUCAGCCGAAAUGGCUGGUUUUGAACCCGAACGGGUAACACCGUGCCGGUUUUAAAGUAGCAAGCUCUGCUGGCCGCUCUGCCCAACCAGAACAUAGUAAGCAUUACUUGUUUAGGGUGAAGCUGAACGGUACGGCCUGAACAAAACCUACCCAUUUCUCAAGGUUUGACCUCAGAUCAGACAAGGAUACCCGCUGAACUUAA
rnacentral:misc_RNA from 1 species